UCCUGGUUAACCCAGGCAGUCUCAUUAGAGUUCCCACCUUAAAUGUUGGCAACUAAUGAUAAGGGUUGCGCUCGUUGCGGGACUUAACCCAACACCUCACGGCACGAGCUGACGACAGCCAUGCAGCACCUGUGCAGCGGCCCCGAAGGGAGAUUCCAUUUCUGGAACUGUCCACUGCAUGUCAAGUCUGGGUAAGGUUCUUCGCGUUGCAUCGAAUUAAACCACAUGCUCCACUGCUUGUGCGGGUCCCCGUCAAUUCUUUUGAGUUUCAGCCUUGCGACUGUACUCCCCAGGCGGUAUACUUAACGCGUUAGCUUCGGCACAACUAGGGUUGAGUCCAGUUACACCAAGUAUACAUCGUUUACGGCAAGGACUAC
rnacentral:misc_RNA from 1 species